UUUGAAAGGAUCCAGUCGUACCGGCGGGUAAUCAGCCUUUUGAGUGUGAUUAUGUGGAGCGUGAGGAGCUAAUCACGUUCAUGCCUGCAUAUUCGUGCACUUUGGGUGUACUUGCUCGUGUGGUAGGUUAACAUCAAUUUUGAUCGUCAUAAAAUGGUUGGAGGAAUGUAGCUUCGAUCUCGUAUUGAAGUGUUAUAGCCUUUGGCAGAUGUGAUGAUUGGGAUUGAGGAUUGCAACGAACCCUUCGGGGCUACCUGUCUGAUCUCUGAGAGUUGCUCUGGUGCUGAAAGCUUGCUUAUGGUAUCAAAGUUGACGUUCAAUAGGUUAGAACGGGAUAAAUUCGUUAUUGACGUAA
rnacentral:rRNA from 1 species